CCUACGGGAGGCAGCAGUGGGGGAUAUUGCACAAUGGGGGAAACCCUGAUGCAGCGACGCCGCGUGUGGGAAGACGGUCCUCUGGAUUGUAAACCACUGUCCCCAGGGACGAAGAUGACGGUACCUGGGGAGGAAGCUCCGGCUAACUACGUGCCAGCAGCCGCGGUAAUACGUAGGGAGCGAGCGUUGUCCGGAAUUACUGGGUGUAAAGGGAGCGUAGGUGGGACUGCAAGUUGGGUGUCAAAUCUACCGGCUCAACCGGUAGCCGCACUCAAAACUGCAGUUCUUGAGUGAAGUAGAGGCAGGCGGAAUUGCUAGGGUAGCGGUGAAAGGCGUAGAUAUUAGGAGGAACACCAGUGGCGAAGGCGGCCUGCUGGGCUUUUACUGACGCUGAGGCUCGAAAGUGUGGGGAGCAAACAGGAUUAGAUACCCCAGUAGUC
rnacentral:rRNA from 1 species